CCUUGGUCACCUGCCUCUGCACCGAUCGAUGCACACACACGCACACAUACGAGAUCGAUCGACGCGGGUUGAUUGUCGCGGCUAAUGCGAACUCUGCGGUGUGUUGCUGAAUUUGGUGUGUGUUAGUAAGUGUGGAGUAGUGGUACUAGGAAGGAAGGAAGGAAUGAUGGAUGUGUGCUGGUGAAGGAAGGAAGGAAGGAAGAUUGUUGGUUGGACAGCUACCACUUAACAGUUUGAUUAGAAGUAGUAGCAGCAGCUUAGAGAGUGUGCGUGCGGUGGGGCCACGGGCUUAGUUUUUUUUUCUGAGCAGGCAACAUGUGAACUACCUGGCCGGCAGCCACCCUGGCUGACGCUGACAGGCCGGGCCCACACCCACAGCCAGCCCCCCUAACGAACUGCUCCACUCCACCC
rnacentral:lncRNA from 1 species